UCCGGUUUGUCACCGGCAGUCUCCUUAGAGUUCCCAGCAUAACCUGAUGGCAACUAAGGACAAGGGUUGCGCUCGUUACGGGACUUAACCCAACAUCUCACGACACGAGCUGACGACAGCCAUGCAGCACCUGUCACCUGGUUCCCGAAGGCACACCCGUAUCUCUACAGGCUUCCAGGGAUGUCAAGAGUAGGUAAGGUUCUUCGCGUUGCGUCGAAUUAAACCACAUGCUCCACCGCUUGUGCGGGCCCCCGUCAAUUCAUUUGAGUUUUAACCUUGCGGCCGUACUCCCCAGGCGGUCUACUUAGUGCGUUAGCUGCGCCACCAAAACCUCAAGGGUCCCGACGGCUAGUAGACAUCGUUUACAGCGUGGACUAC
rnacentral:misc_RNA from 1 species